AUUGAACGCUGGCGGCAUGCCUUACACAUGCAAGUCGAACGGCAGCACGGAGCUUGCUCUGGUGGCGAGUGGCGAACGGGUGAGUAAUAUAUCGGAACGUACCCUAGAGUGGGGGAUAACGUAGCGAAAGUUACGCUAAUACCGCAUACGAUCUAAGGAUGAAAGUGGGGGAUCGCAAGACCUCAUGCUCGUGGAGCGGCCGAUAUCUGAUUAGCUAGUUGGUAGGGUAAAAGCCUACCAAGGCAUCGAUCAGUAGCUGGUCUGAGAGGACGACCAGCCACACUGGAACUGAGACACGGUCCAGACUCCUACGGGAGGCAGCAGUGGGGAAUUUUGGACAAUGGGCGAAAGCCUGAUCCAGCAAUGCCGCGUGAGUGAAGAAGGCCUUCGGGUUGUAAAGCUCUUUUGUCAGGGAAGAAACGGUGAAAGCUAAUAUCUCUUGCUAAUGACGGUACCUGAAGAAUAAGCACCGGCUAACUACGUGCCAGCAGCCGCGGUAAUACGUAGGGUGCAAGCGUUAAUCGGAAUUACUGGGCGUAAAGCGUGCGCAGGCGGUUUUGUAAGUCUGAUGUGAAAUCCCCGGGCUCAACCUGGGAAUUGCAUUGGAGACUGCAAGGCUAGAAUCUGGCAGAGGGGGGUAGAAUUCCACGUGUAGCAGUGAGAUGCGUAGAUAUGUGGAGGAACACCGAUGGCGAAGGCAGCCCCCUGGGUCAAGAUUGACGCUCAUGCACGAAAGCGUGGGGAGCAAACAGGAUUAGAUACCCUGGUAGUCCACGCCCUAAACGAUGUCUACUAGUUGUCGGGUCUUAAUUGACUUGGUAACGCAGCUAACGCGUGAAGUAGACCGCCUGGGGAGUACGGUCGCAAGAUUAAAACUCAAAGGAAUUGACGGGGACCCGCACAAGCGGUGGAUGAUGUGGAUUAAUUCGAUGCAACGCGAAAAACCUUACCUACCCUUGACAUGGCUGGAAUCCUCGAGGGAUUGAGGAGUGCUCGAAAGAGAACCAGUACACAGGUGCUGCAUGGCUGUCGUCAGCUCGUGUCGUGAGAUGUUGGGUUAAGUCCCGCAACGAGCGCAACCCUUGUCAUUAGUUGCUACGAAAGGGCACUCUAAUGAGACUGCCGGUGACAAACCGGAGGAAGGUGGGGAUGACGUCAAGUCCUCAUGGCCCUUAUGGGUAGGGCUUCACACGUCAUACAAUGGUACAUACAGAGCGCCGCCAACCCGCGAGGGGGAGCUAAUCGCAGAAAGUGUAUCGUAGUCCGGAUUGUAGUCUGCAACUCGACUGCAUGAAGUUGGAAUCGCUAGUAAUCGCGGAUCAGCAUGUCGCGGUGAAUACGUUCCCGGGUCU
rnacentral:rRNA from 1 species